GUCCUUCGGGACAGUGGCAGACGGGUGAGUAACGCGUGGGAAUCUACCUAGCUCUACGGAAUAGCUUCGGGAAACUGGAAUUAAUACCGUAUACGCCCUCCGGGGGAAAGAUUUAUCGGAGUUAGAUGAGCCCGCGUUAGAUUAGCUAGUUGGUGGGGUAAUGGCCUACCAAGGCGACGAUCUAUAGCUGGUCUGAGAGGAUGAUCAGCCACACUGGGACUGAGACACGGCCCAGACUCCUACGGGAGGCAGCAGUGGGGAAUAUUGGACAAUGGGCGAAAGCCUGAUCCAGCCAUGCCGCGUGUGUGAUGAAGGCCUUAGGGUUGUAAAGCACUUUCAACGGGGAAGAUAAUGACGGUACCCGUAGAAGAAGCCCCGGCUAACUUCGUGCCAGCAGCCGCGGUAAUACGAAGGGGGCUAGCGUUGUUCGGAAUUACUGGGCGUAAAGCGCGCGUAGGCGGAUUGAUCAGUUAGGGGUGAAAUCCCAAGGCUCAACCUUGGAACUGCCUCUAAUACUGUCAGUCUAGAGUUCUAGAGAGGUGAGUGGAAUUCCGAGUGUAGAGGUGAAAUUCGUAGAUAUUCGGAGGAACACCAGUGGCGAAGGCGGCUCACUGGCUAGAUACUGACGCUGAGGUGCGAAAGUGUGGGGAG
rnacentral:rRNA from 1 species